CGACGUGGUGUCUGGUCAGGCGCGCGAGUAGCCGACCGCCUGAGCACGUCGUUUCCCUUCCUCGAUUCCAACCUUUUCCCCAACCUAGCGCUAGCUGAAGGCUCCGGCGGCGGCGGCUGGCCCUCUCCUGCCUCUCCCUCGGUCCCUCCCCUCCCCUCCAUCCGGCCAUCUCACUCCCCUGCCUCGGCCUCCGGCGCCCAGCCCUCUCCUCCGCGGCUCCGCCAGGCGCCAGGCCACCAGUCCGCCUCCGGCCUCCCAAGCGCGGCGGCAGCCGGCAGCCGGCAGCGCCCUCCAGGCUCCAGCCACCGUCCUCGCGCCUCCCCGGCGCGGCGGCAGCACCAUCCAGCAGUCCGGCCUCCGUUCCUCAACAGCCACAAUACCCUGACGCCGGUUGGCCCCGGCACAACGCCGCUCCCCGCCAACGCCCCUCUCCCUCAGCUGCUGACCUCGGCAACGAGCUCACCCACACGCCUCUGCUGCCAGAAGAUUGCCCACAUAGUUUAAAAUAUUCAUAUGAACCUAUGCUUAAUGUAAAAGAGCAUAUGGAAAAUUAUAAACUGAUCUAUUUUGUUUUCAUUACUACAGCUAGCAAAGGCUAAUGGAUCGAGGUUGGAUGAGUAAACCAAGAUCAACUACUGAUUAUAAAGAAGGUGUCGAGCAAUUUCUAUCUUUUGCCUUCCAUGAUGUUCCACUCGGUGAUAAAAUUCUCUGUCCCUGUGUAAAUUGUGGAAAUAAGGCAACGCAGAAUUACGACGAAGUGAAAACCCACCUAAGAUGUGAUGGUAUUCUUCAGGGUUAUACAAAAUGGGUUUGCCAUGGAGAAGAGUAUGAUUCACCGUCAUUUGCAUUUGCUCCCAUGUCAAAUAACAACAACGAUUUUCAUAUUCCGGGUUUUCCAGUGAAUUCUGAUGUAGAAGGCAGUAAUAGAAGAUUGCAUGACAUUUCUGGGCUCUUAAGUGCCAUUUUCCCCAUGGCUGACAGCUUCCAAUCACUAUCAAGCGCAUCUGAUGGGGAACUAGAUGGUGUUCAGUCUGAAUUUGAGAACUUGGAACCUGGUAUGGCUGAGAAUGUCAAUACAACAUCUGCAGAUGAUGAUGCAAUGAGAGAACAAGACAUAUACGCUAGUUUCCUCGAGGAAGCAAACACAGAUUUAUACCCUGGAUGUGCAACAUAUUCGAGGUUGUCAUUUCUUGUCACUUUAUAUCACAUGAAAGUCUUGCAUGGAUGGUCACAGGAAUCAUUCACACAGCUACUUGGUGUAUUAUCGGUUGCAUUUCCUCAGAUAAACCUACCCAAGAAAUAUUAUGAGGUGAAAAAAAUCAUACGCGGAUUAGGGCUGGACUAUGAGAAAAUUCAUGCAUGCCCAAGAGACUGCAUGCUUUUUAGAGGUGAAAGAGCUAACCAGGAGUCUUGCCAUGUGUGUGGUGCCUCUCGUUGGCUUACCAAUGAAAAUGAGAAGAAAGAUUCGGCAACUGAAUCUAAGAAGAAGAAGAAGAAGAAACCAGCCAAGGUGUUGCGAUAUUUCCCAUUGAUUCCAAGGCUCCAAAGGUUAUUUGCAACCAAGAAGACAUCAACUGACAUGCGUUGGCAUGAUGAGGGUCGUACAAAAGAUGGAUUGCUGCGAUGUCCAGCUGAUGGAGAGGCUUGGAAAGAUCUUGAUGCCAGAUAUCCUAAAUUCGCUGAGGAUCCCCGUAAUGCGCGGCUAGGCGUUGGGUCUGAUGGGUUUAAUCCUUUCCGACUCAUGAGUGCAAAACAUAGUACUUGGCCAGUGAUGCUUAUUCCAUACAACCUACCACCUUGGAUCUGCAUGAAGCAAACAUCUCUAAUUUUAUCAAUGAUUAUUCCUGGACCAAGUUCCCCUGGCAAUGAUAUUGAUGUAUAUUUGCAGCCGUUGGUGGAUGAGCUGCAACAUCUUUGGAAGGGUGUGGACACUUUUGAUUCAUGUACCCAGGAGAAAUUUUCUCUUCGAGCUGCACUAUUAUGGACUUUGAACGAUUUUCCAGCAUUAGCUUACCUCUAUGGGUGGAGCACGAGCGGUAAAUAUGCUUGCCCGUCUUGUGGUCCUUUUACAAGAUCAUAUUGGCUAAAGAAGAGUAAGAAAUUUUGUUAUAUGGGUCAUCGCCGAUGGCUAACACAGAAUCAUGUAUUUCGGAGACGAAAGAAGGAGUUUGAUAACACCGAAGAGAUGGAACUUGCACCUAUAUCAAUGAGUGGUAGCUCAGCUUUGAGAAUGUUGCAGGGCAGAGUGUUUGUCUUAGGAAAAAAGGUUGUUGUGGCAAAGAAAGGGAAAGGGAAAAAGAAGGGCAAAGACAGUGAAAAAGGAAUUGAAGGUUCUGAAAAACAGAAGUGUAAAAGAGCGCCUAACAAGAAAUCAGGUAACGUCGCACGUAAACCUGAAAAGAAGCCUGAGGAUUGUUUCAAAAAGAAGUCGAUAUUCUUUGAUUUGGAAUACUGGGAGCACAACAAGUUACGGCACAAUCUAGAUGUAAUGCAUAUUGAGAAAAAUGUCUUCUAAAAUUUAAUUGGAACCUUACUGGAUAUUGAUUCUAAAACAAAGGAUGGCCUUAAUGCACGACUUGACUUAGGAGAAAUUGGAAUUCGAUCUAGCCUUCAACCUCAUGAAGGUGAUAAGGGUAAAACUGAAUUGCCGCAUGCACCUUUUAAUAUGUAUAAAGAAAAGAAGGAGAUUCUUUGUACAGUGGUUAAGAAGUGUAGGACACCUGAUGGUUGUGCAUCAAACUUUUCGAGGUGUGUGAACAUGAAAGAAUUGACAUUGACUGGCCUCAAAAGCCACGACUGCCAUGUUAUUCUACAAGACAUCCUUCCUGUGGCACUUUUACACUGUUAUCCCAGUAAAGAUUUCAUGAUAAUAGUUGUUGAGCUGGCUAAUUUCUUCAAGAAGCUAUGCUCCAAAGUGUUAGAUGUCUCUGAGCUUGACAAACUGCAAGAGAGUAUUGUGAAGACACUUUGUAAUAUGGAAAAGGUUUUUCUUCCAUCGUUUUUUACUGUCAUGGUACAUUUAAUGGUGCAUUUAGUUGAAGAAGCUAAACUUGGUGGCCCGGUGCAUUACAGGUGGAUGUACCCUCUAGAGAGAUCAUUUGUUUGGCUAAAGUCACUUGUGCGCAAUAGAGCUUAUCCUGAAGGUUCUAUUGCUGAAGGAUAUACUGUUGAAGAAUGCUUGACCUUUUGUUCAAGAUUUCUAGAAGGAACCACACGUUUCACAAGAACAUCUAGGAACCCUGAUCCUUCGGAUAAUACAAAGGGCAUGUACAUGUUUGAUAGUGUUGGUGAGCCAAUUGGAAAGGCUGUCACUAUAGGCCAGUUGGACGAUCAGCUUCUAGUUCAAGCACAUAGAUAUGUCUUGCGACACUCUGAUGAGCUUGAUGAUCUUCGUAGAGAAUUUCUGGACCAAGAGAAGAGGAAACCGGGUAACUUAAAUUUGACGGAUGAUGACAAUGAGGAUUUGAUUAGUAGACACUUUGCUGACUGGUUGGAACAAAAGGUUAUACUAGAUGAUGGACUGGAUAUCACAGAAAAGAUAAGAGCAUUAGCCGCAAAACCAAGCAAAUGCGGGGUGCGCUAUAGUGGCUAUAUAAUUAAUGGUUUCAGGUUUCAUACUAUCAGUCGCGAGACAGGACACGUGACACAAAAUAGUGGUGUCGUGAACCUUGCUGAAAAUGGUGUGUCCUAUUAUGGUCGGUUAUCUGACAUCUUCGAGUUGUCAUACAAAGAUUACAAGGUGGUCUUCUUUAAAUGUGAUUGGUAUGAUGUUCAUCACAAAGCUGGUAUUAUAAGAGAUGAGUUUGGAUUCACUCAUGUGAACUUCUCCCGAAAAAUACAUACAGGGGAGAAGUUAGAGGAUGAACCUUUUGUAUUUUCUUCCCAAGUGGACCAGGUCUUCUAUAUCCAAAAUCCGAGAAGUGAGAAUUGGAAUACCAUGGUGAAAUUCAAACCUCGUGAUAUUUUUGACAUGGGUGGAGAACCAUCUUCAGAUGAAACAGAGUAGUCUUUGUGUUUUUAGCUUGUUAUCUGCAGCUAAGAUAUAGGUUUAGCAAUUGUCAUCCAUGCUCCUAGGUAGAAUUACUCCAACAUAAUUAUUCUAGCUGGGUGGAUCUUCUUCGGAAUGUAUGUUACUCUGUGAUGAACGAGCCUAUGGUCUUUUUUUAAUGUGUAUGUUCCCUUUUGUUAUGAA